CAGAAAGAGGAUCCCUCCCAAUUCUUCAAGAUUUGUAAGAGGAGGAUCCUCAACGCCCUGUCCCCAAGGAGAUGAUUGAUAUUGCACUGAUUCUGGAGAAGCAUAUCGUUCUUCGGGACCUGAAGGAUGUGCCCAACGCAUUCGCCCUGCUGAUGGGUCUGCUCUACGUCUUCAACAUCCAUUACCCAAAA